GCACCACGUCUCCUGGAGCUGCUGGCGAGCAGGAUUGCGAUGCAGGGCGGCCCCGGGACAGCCAGCAGUGAUGGGCUUCUGCAGCUGCUGUGGGAUCUCCUGUCUCAGAAGGACCUUUCCCUGGGGGCUUCUUCCCACUGAGUCAGUCUCGGUAACAUCAACAAGCAGUGCUACUUCAGUGACUGGAGGAGUCACCAGGGCUGAGUGCUCCUUUCCCCUCAGCUGAGUCGUCACCAUGGCUUUCUAUUUCCAGCGUACUGCAGCACAAAUGCGUUUUACUGGGAUGAUGUCCUCCACUGGAAAACAUCCAGAGAAGCCCAGCAAAGAGGAAGAGAGGUAAGCAAAGGAGCACGAGUGGGGAUGCAGUAAUACGGGCAUCAGUGGAAACUGUUUUCCAGCAGAUGAAAUGCAGGCUCGGGGCAGCUGGGCUCAGCCAAGCAGACAGCUGAGUCAGCACAUCGUGCUGUUGUCUUGCCUUCCACCCUGGAAAGGGAAAAGGACGCGCGUGUGCCUCCUCCUCCAAGUGCUCUGGAUGAAUUUCCUAGUGUUCUGGAGCCUGCAAAGCUCUGUGCAGGGUGGGCAAGCCCAGAGGAAGCACAAUAGCUGCAGGGAAAGCCUGGUACUGCUUUAGGAGUAGCAGGUUUUGUGGUGCUCAGCUCAGAACUGCCUCUAAACAUCACUGGAAAAUACUUUGGUCUAAUAACACUUUUCUGUUUUCCUGUUUUCCCUAAGUUCUCAUUCUUUGCCCUGGUUUUUGGCUGACUGAUGAAUUGAUUUAUUGCUUUAAUAGCAGAAAAUGACCAUGAGUAAAUCCCUUGCUGCCUCCAAGGCAAACUGCUCAUGGUUUGUUCGUACUCCAGAGCACACAUACUUUGCAGGGUGAUUUUCCAGCCUCAGUCCUCAGGUUGACUGUGGAGACCGGGCUCCUCCUGGUGCACUUCCACGCAUGGAUGGAAGUGCAUUUCCCAGGCAGAGCUUUGUCCUGAUUCAGGUUUUGUAUAUCCAUACCCUGCCAGCAGCUUGGGCCAGUUUGGAUAUACAUGCUGGACACAGCUGCAUUCAUGUGACUUCCUGGGCUAAACUUUCUUAUGGGGGAAGAAGCAAAGUCUUUGUUUACCCGUCUCAAUGGAAAAGUUUAGCUCUGGCCUGUCUUGCCAAGGAGGGAAGGAGUGUGCCAGAGUGAUAGCACAGUGGGCUCUGGCUGCUGAUGGUGCAGAGGCAGGGCUGGUGCUGGGCAUGCUGCUGGCAUUGCACCCAGCAGUAAGGGGUGCCCUGGGCCAUGGGGAUCCUGUGGCUAUUUUUUGGCUCUCUCGGCUGCUAAAUCAUAGAAUCAUAGAAUCACCAAGGUUGGAAAAGACCUAAAAAAUCAUCCAGUCCAACCGUUCACCUAUUACCAAUAGCUCCCACUAAAAAUAAAGCUGAGCAAGUCCCUUCAAUGUCCAUCAGGGAAUGAGCAGGAGAAGCUGUGUUUGUGGGGCAUAGCAGUGGGUUGGGAAGGGAAAUAUCUUCAGCCAUGGAUGUGCAGAGUAGGGGAUAUUCAGCUGGCAUGGGAUGCUCUCUUGCAGGGUUAAAAGGCACAAACUUCCUAUAUGGCUUUCAUUUAAAUAGAUCAAAACUGCUGCAAAGUUAUAUUUUAGUCAGGUAAUACACCUCUGUGCUUUGAAAACUGUAGGCAUGUGGCACAGGUCCUGUUAGAGUUGUUUAAUCAAGAUCUGCAAAGGGACAAAGGUAUCCCAUGCUUUCAGGUCUGCGGGCUGCUCUCCUGAUCCUGGCUGCAGCAGAACCAUAUAAAAGGAAGGGUAGACUAAAGAACAUUUGUUUAAUAUAUAUUUUCCAGUGAAAAGCUCAACUGGACCAGGAUUCAUUCACUAAGUCCAGCUCUUGAGAUCAGCUACUCAGAAAAAAUAACGUUUUAUAUUGUCCUCUACUAAUGGUAGGAAGCAGAAGAGCAGGCCCCACAUAUACAUCACCUGUCCCCCAGCAUUUAAAGCCUUCUGCUGGAGCAGGAGAGCAUGUGCGAAGCUGCUGCUAAUCCCCAGGCUCAGAUCUUGUUGCAGCAGCUUCUCUGCUGAUUUUGUCCAGAUCCCCACUCCUGUGAGUGCUUCUGCUCCUUGCCUUUGAAGCUGCUUGGACUCAAAUUAACUAUGCUUUAAUGGGAUGAGCAUCUUCCAAAUGAGACUGUUGGCUGCUUGCCAUCACUGCCAGAUGCUUUAGAUGACCCCUUUUUAGCAGCAUUUCUCUGAGAGAAACCAGAAUUCCCUUACCAUUUCCAAAUCUAGCUGCUCUCCAGGCUGUGCCAGUCGCUGCCUUGUGACUACUUUGCUGGUGUCAGACUGUGUCAGAUAAAUAAUCACCUCCUCAACACAUCUUUUGUUAGUACCUCUAACAGGCUGGCUGUUAGAAUACCUUGGUUCAUUAGUGAGAUGCUUUUUCCAGCACAUAAACAUUUUCAUCCCAGAAUGAGCGGCUGUUACUACCAAAAACGCGUGCUCUUGUUUAUAAACUGAAUAAAGUAGAACACCUUCCAUGCUUAUGCCCGCGUGACAGCCUUGUGAGUGGGACUGCACUGUGCUCCUGGUCCCAUAGCAUUCACUGGCAGAAGUGAUAUGCUUUUAUUUGCAGAUUUAUGGUUCCGUGGGCACAUCAGCCAUACCACUUCUGGGCAGGCAUGUUUGCAUUUUAAAAUCCAGCUUCAGCUCUCAUGAGGUUUCUAAGUCUGCCCUUGUGAGCUCCAACUUCAGCUGACACCCUGUGCUUGGGGUCCCUCCUGCUCUGUCCCAUGGAGGUGAUCGAAUUGUGGCCACCAGCCAGGCAAUAGCUAGAUGGGUGUUAGGAGCCACAUGGUUUUUGCAUGCACAGUUAUGUUUUUGAUUGGGAAUGGGGAGGAUUUAGCCUCAAUAUUUGCAUAUCUCUUGUGCAGAGCUCUGAGAUGUUCAGCCUGGAGAAGAGAAGGCGCUGGGGAGACCUGGUAGCAGCCUUUCAGUAUCUAAAGGGAAAUGAUAAGAAAGAAGGGGAUGGACUCUUUAGCAGGAUCUGUAGUGAUAGGACAAGGGGAAAGGGUUUCAAACUAAAAGAGGGGAGAUUUGGAGUGGACAGAAGGAAGAAGUUUUUUCUUAUGAUAAGGGUAGAGAAGAACUGAAGCAGGUUGCCCAUAGAUGUGGUGGAUGCUCCAUUCCUGGAGACAUUCAGAGUCAGGCUGGAAGGGGCUCUGAGCACCUGAUCGAGCUAUAAGUGUCCCUGUUCAUUGCAGGGGAGUUACAGUAGAUGGCCUUUAAGGAUCCCUUCCAACUCAGAUGAUUCUGUGAUUCUGUGAAUGUGCUGCCGUGUGUCUCAGCUGUGUAGUGCCAAUGGAUGUGUGAGCCUCCUCCACCAUGGUGCUGUCACUGAGACUCAAAUGGCUUGUAGUGGCAACAGCUGGGAGACCCUUGCCUCCUGGAGGGGGAGCAAAUGGAGCCUUUUUAGUAAUUCCUGUCACACUGGGAAUGCCACUCCUUCUUGUAGCUUCCUGACUUGCUUUCAAUGCAGAGCGUCUUGAUGUUUGUGCAGGUGAAGAAACAGUAAAUCCCAAAUGGUCCCAUGCAAAAAAAAUGCAAACACUGCUGUGGUUAGCUUUCCAUCCCAGGUGACAGGGACAGAAUGUUUGCAAAGCAGCACAGCUUAUUUUCUGCAGAUCUCACCUCCUUACUGCUAAGGCCGAGGAACCUUGGGCACUGCGUUCCUGGAGAGGCCCCAGCUCUGGCAGCCCUACGCUACUACACAUAGUUGUGUCUUUGUCUGCGUUAACAGUGUAGGAUCUUCUCCUUCACUGGCUGAGCAAUGGUCCUGAGCAGUGCUAGCCAGCUGGGCAGGGGAGGCAAAGUCUCCAAAAGGCAUGUAGCUCCAAGCUGAUGUGUCGAUGGGUAACGUGAUCUCUGAUUGGUAUCACUCAAUGUGAGUCUGUGAAGUUUUCAGUACUCUUCUGCAGAGAGCUGGACUGCCUUUUCACUUAGGAAAUCGUCAAGGAGGUAUGAGGAGCUUUUAGCAGUCAUCCCGUAGGUGAAAUCACCUUUCUGUAGUUUCUUUCCAUUUCUAACCAGCAAUAGGAGCAACCUGACAGCUUGGAAAUGCCUGUGGAGUUGUUUUUUUUGUGUUUUUCUUUUCCCUUUUCUGUUUUACUCCAGGAACAGAAGGCUGCUUAAGCCUCUUCAUUCAGUACCACUGAAGGAAUGUUUAAUUCUCCAUUAGUCCCUAUUUCCAAAAGGAUGGCUGUGCUGCAGCCAGCAUGCUGGUGGGGGCUGGUGGCCACAGCAGCCACCUCUCAGUACCUGUCAGGGAUGCAGAGAUCAGCCUGUGAGGCACAAGAUGCUGCGCAAGGACAUGAUGCUGAGCUUUUUGGUUUUGUGCAUGGGGGAUACACAAACAGGUUUGCUAACACAGCAGCAGUGGCUGAAUGGAAGAGGAGAUGCUAACUUUCAUCCUAAAAUGCCACCAUGAGGUUGCAAAAACACUGAACAGUUAGGCUGCUAGAAAGCAUCCCCAAAAUGUUAGAAUUGUACCCAGUGGGUAUAUCCAACACCUGGCUUAUUAGCUCCCCUCUGCCCACGUCUGAGGCUCUGUGGUCUGUGAAUUGCUGUGCCUGACGCCUUACAGCUCUGGCCAGCGGGUGGCGAGUGAACUCCCACACAGCCGGGCCCCGGGGGCGGCAGAGCAAUCUGGAGAGAUCUGCAAAUAGUUGGGCAGCAAACAUCUCCUAGGGGGACCUGACCCCAGGGCCACCCAUGUGUGGAGGGAUGAGUGGCAGCGGUCAGUAGGAGCUGCGAUCUGGGAUUUGCCUCAUCCCACACCCGCACCGUGCUGUUUCAGAACACUCGCAGAAGCGCAGUAGUUCAGCCGGAUCUGAACCACACACACGCUCUCACUCUGCACCAGGCGCGUUUCUGGCUCCGUCCUGUGCUUCUUCAUUCAAACGCAGUGCAAGCAGCGCGCAGCACGCCCUGCAGGAUCCUGCCGUGUCUUGCUGAUCUCUCGAUAGCUUGCUCAAGAAAGCCACCUCCUGUUCUGCGAGCUUCAACACCAUGUAAUGGAAAAAUGUAGAAGCGGGGCCCAGCUGUGCGUCACCGGCUGCCUUGGCAACCUCCGCCCGCGCUCAGCUCGGCCAUAGGCGCGCAGGGCUGUCUGUCUGCUGCGGCGAUGGUUCGCAGUGCUCAGCAUCCCCUGUCCCUUAGCAGGGCAGCGGGGGAGAACAAGGAAAUACCAGGGCUUGCUCGUGUCACUGGAGCCUGCUGGGCGCUAAUGCAGCAGGAAUUUAGGAACUCUGCAAGGAAUUCCGUCAGUCUUCAAAGAAGGGACAGAAGCAUCUGGCAUUUGGCCAUUGCGCUUGUGUUAGUACAGGAAAAACACCAAAUUUUUCCAACACUGCUAAAGCGUUUCCUAUUUGUAGGUUAACAGUGUGCAUUUUGCUGUUUGGUACCAAAUGUCAGUGAGGAACAAGGGCCUAUUUUAUGUUGCUUUGUAGUAAAGCUUAAGCUUUACUUGCAAGCUUUCCUUAAAGCAACAGGAAGCUGUGAGCUCUGUGGGUGUCUUCUGAGACCUCCAAAAAACCCUUCCUGAGCCGACUGGAAAGUGCAUCAGGUUGCUGCUGUACCAGCAGGCUUGCUCUCUGAGGCAGGCUGGAGGAUGGGAAUCAGGUGUAGGCGUUGGGCAUGGACCCUUUGAGGAACUGGGGUUGCUCAGCUAUUGAUCACGCUUGCUCCUGUCAAAUGGAAAUGCCAGCAUGCUCCUAUUCUUGACAGACCCUCUCCUGGGCUUCUCCAGCACCCCUGCAGGGUGAAGUCCUGCCCAUUAGCCGCUUACUGUCUCCAAAUCACCCCAAUUAUGUGGAGAGGUGUUUCCUUUUUCUCUUAUUUUCUUUGAAAAAAAAAUACUAAAAAUAGCCUGUGGGAGACCUAGUGACUAAGUCAAGUGCUACUGAAGUAAACAAACAACAAAGUGUCUGAGGGAAGAGGAUGACUAAAUUUUUCUACCUCCUCUUCUGCUUCCCUCACCUCAGAGCUAAACAUAGUCUCCUUCAGCAGGAGGAUUUGCUGCUGCCCACAGUGACAGCCUUGCAGAUACGGGCUUGCCGAGCCCCAGUCGUAUGGAGAACCAGGCACCUUCCCUACAUUCGUUUCUCUUCUCGCUCGCUCUUCCCCCAAGAGAAAAUAUAUUUAGAAAUGCCAAGACACAAUGAGCUAAACUCUGCCUUUGUUCCACCCACGUUUAUAAUGGCUUCAUUGUAUCGCAUCCGCCAGCGCCUUUGCGAUUAUAUGGCUAGAUAUAACAGCCUCCUACCCUUCACUUUCUUGUCCUUAUUUGGACCAGAAAAUGGCUCGAGCCUUUUCUUCAAAUUUGAUAGGGCUGUUCUGGGAAAGACUAUUUGGAUUUUAACGUGAAACUUGCCAUUUCUGCUUCUUGAAAGGAUGUCACAGCUUACUGGGGGGAAGCUGCUUGUUGCUGAACUGGCGCUUAGAGGCUGGUGCUGGAGUUAUGUGCUCAAACACCACGCCAUGCCGCAUGCCUGGCUUCUGCCGCUCGCCUCAAAUACAGCCUCUUUCAAGAGAAAUAUUUAUUUUAGAAACUACUUUGCUUAAAAAAAAAAACAAGGAAGAAGACGAACGUGCAUUUUCAGAUCUCACUCUUUAAAUGAGGAAUCUGAACAGGCUGGGUCACCCCUGGGUGUGCUGCAUGCAGCUAGCAAUGCUGGGCUACUCGGACCCUCUCCUUCCACACCCCAGGAGGGGGAUGACAGCACGUGGAAGGCAGACUUCUACUCAGAAUUAUAAUAUAAUACUUAGAAUCAUAGAAUAUAGAGUCAUAGCACACAGCAAACUGAAAGGGACCCAUAAGCAUCACUGAGUCCAGCUCCUUCGAGACUGUCCUGCAUCCCAGCACCUCCUCCGUGUGCCUGUGCAAAACUCAGCCCUAUGGCAUUACAUGCUGUCCUGAAUGUGGUGCUGUUUUAGGAUCAGCAUGAUUCUUCUUCAGUAUCUUAGGACUUUACAACUGAAAUCUUCUUUUUCCUCUCCUGGGCCAGCCCUGCGUGUCAGCACAUGGCUGGGUUGGAAAGCCACGGAGCUGUGGCUGAGGCAGGCUGGUGCUCUCAGCAGCUGCUGUCAGCAGGGGCUCCUCCAGCCGUGCAGCACCAGCUUCUCUGACAUGAGAGCCAAUAAAGUCUACAGAGCACUUUGCUCUGUCAAAGUGCUAUCCAAACACGAGGGAUUCCAAGUGCAAAUGAAAGUGCUAAACUGAUUUAAAGGCAAAUUAAAAGGUCGUGCCUGUUGAACAUUCAGCUUUAUGGUUUGGUUGUGUUUAUGAAAUUUAUAACUGCUCUUUUAAACCAGCUUUUUACACUCUGUGUACCCAGUAAAUGCAGGUGUGGUCAGGGCUUAUGACUAAUUUUAAAAAACUUAUUUAUUCUAAGCAAACUAUUGUAGCCCUGGAAAUGACUUUUUCCCUUCCGUGUAUCCCUCCUGCAGCCUGCAGCACUUAGGCCAUUCACAGAGCAUUGCACUUUUUCAUGGUAGAAGGGUGCAUUUCCAAUUUACAUAUUCCGUAAUGUGGCAUUUGAUCAUGGCCACGCAGUGUCAGAGCAGUAAGUGAACUCCAUAAGUGAGCAGAGCAAGGGAACAGCGGAGGGAACACUUUCUGGGAGUUUCUACAACAGAAAGGCUCACAUCUAAAAGCUGGACCUCUGGCAUCCAACCUCUCCUGCAGACUGCAUCAUUAAUGUUUCACGACAUGGCACUGGUUCUGCAGAAUCUUGCUUGCGUGGUCCCGAUGCUUGUGGACAGUAUGCUCCCAGAGCUUUGUGUUUAUAGCGUGUACAUUGAUGCCCUCCAUGCUUAUCUCCAGGUAAAUAGCUCAAGUGGCCACGCAGGCACUAGAAGUCCGAGGUUGCCCUGCUUGUUCAUAAGGCGGUCUGAAGAGAGGGGGGACGAGCCCUCUCACCUUACCAUGUGCUGGGGGGGAUCUUGAGCUGGUGGAAAUCUCUCCAAACAACCCUUUGUUCUGGGCGUUGCUUUGGGCAUCCCAACUCACUUCACAGCACAUGUUCAGGAGCAGGCUGGUUCCGUCCCAUGCUGUUCCGGGUUCCAUCCAGGAGCAGAUAGGAAUAAACUGGACUAAAAAACCCCAAGAAUUAGAAGCACCUUUUUUCUGCCUAUGGAUGCUACUCUAUGUUUGGUGCUUCGGUCCCAAAUUCCUCUAAGCGGGCUGGAAAUGCAGUGUCAUGGCUUAAAUCCCUGAAAACUUGCCUUCAAAUUGUAGGAGAGGGUGUUGGCAGCUGGCAUUUGGGGGGGUUCCCUGACUCAUGCCACACUGCUCUCUCAGCUGGCUGCCUGACCCACUGCCCUGGGCCUGUUUUGUGCUGGUGAGCAUUUUUAUUAUUGGCUGCAUUUUGAAAGGGAGCUGCUUGCUGUGGAAGCAGCAGCACAGGACUUUUCUAGCAGUCCACCAGAAGUGACCAACUGUUUCUGUUUACCUUGAAUUCUCUAAGCCAAAAAUUGCACAACAAACGUAAUUUGUAUGUACUAAUGAGUAACAAAGACAUUUCCAGAGAUCUGGAUCAGUUCCCUCGCAGGAAAGUGGGCUGGACUUGCCUAAUGUGUACAAUUAAUUCAUGCAGCUUUACUGGAAAGCCAGUUAUGACUGAUCUGUGCUAGGAAGAUUUCACUUUGAUUGAAGUGGAGGCUGCUAGUCGGGAAGACACGCUUACAGAGACAACCGCAGCUCCAGGGCCACUUCUGCCUUUCUCCUACCCGAUGCUUUGGCACUGCCUCUGCUCAGCCCCCCGCACAUGCCCACGCAUCACUGAGCACUGCGAGUGAGCAGGCACAGGCUGUGACCAUCCCCGCACACCAGGUGCUGCUGCCGGUCCCAAAGCCACGGGGCUUCCUCCUAUUGUCAGAGGGAAGGCCACAUCCAAGCACCACGAACACCCAUCUGGGCUUUCUCCUCUCCAGCAUCGUAAGCAGGAAGGGGGAGUCUGCAAAGAGCUCCUGUUUUUUUCCAAUAGGCUGGAAUAAUUUUCGAUGAUCCCAGCAGAUGUUCCUGGCUCCCUUGCUUUCUGGCCGAGGCUCCUCUGUCACUCGUGUUAAUCUCCCGCAGAUGGCAGAGAAGGCAGCAACUUUGGCCACAUUGGUGUGGAUGUGGGCGGUUUGCAUUGGAAGAAGACUGCAUAAGACAUGGGGCUGCCUGGGCUCCCCUCCCAGAAGGCUGCCCAGCAGCAGGGCACAGCCUGAGCUCCAUGUUAGCGACCUGGAGCGUAUCAUGAGUGGUUUCGGCAGGGAUCCCGUGUGCAGGGCGUACAGAGGAGGCACUUGGCAGCAUGCAGGUCCCUGCCUGCCCUGCCCCGUGCCCUCUGCCGCCAGCACCCCGCACAGCGAGCAGAGCUGGCCUCCUCGCCUCCCCGAUGGAGCUUUUCCCAGUGAAGGGAAACAAUCAUCACUAGGGAAACCUUAACUACUUUCUAAAGACCAAAAAAACCCACAUUCGUUCUUUUAAACAUGGAAAAUGAAAUGGUUCCCUUUCCUUUGGCUGUGUGCGUGUGGCCCCCGAGCAAGCCGACACGGAGUGAACUCUGCGGGCAAAUGCUCCCCCACUUACUUAUUUAUUGCAGAGGAGGCCUCUCCAGUGCAAAGUCUGCUCUCCUCUACUGCUUGAGUUGCUGUUUGUCAAACCACAAGGCUGCGGGCACAAGGAGCAGCUCAUCAGCCCAACUCAGGAGUGAGGCAUGUUCCAGGCCUCACCAAAGCCCCUUCCCAAGGAGGCCUCAGCAGCGAGUUCCCAUUUUGGAAGGGCUGGAAGUGAAAGCAAAGAGCAGUGAGGCCCUGCUGUCUGCUCUCAGUUUUCCUGUCUUCUUCUUCUCAUUUA